UACGUAGGGGCGAGCGUUGUCCGGAUUUAUUGGGCGUAAAGAGCUCGUAGGCGGUUUGGUAAGUUGGAUGUGAAAUCUCCAGGCUCAACUUGGAGGGGUCAUUCGAUACUGCCAUGACUAGAGUUCGGUAGGGGAGUGUGGAAUUCCUGGUGGAGCGGUGAAAUGCGCAGAUAUCAGGAGGAACACCCGUAGCGAAGGCGGCACUCUGGGCCGGAACUGACGCUGAGACGCGAAAGCGUGGGGAGCGAACAGG
rnacentral:rRNA from 1 species